rnacentral:lncRNA from 1 species
CAUAGCCAUUGAUAGCUGAAAGUGUAAAAUCUGUUAAAAUUCCAAGUCUAUGCCAACAAAAGGGCAUGUGUCUAAUUAUACCUAAGAUAAAUGUCUCCAUGUUAAUUUGGUUGUGUCAAAGCAGUGAUUAUCCAAGAUAAGCUUUAUCUAGUCUAACACGUGACUAGAAGAUCAAACUCAGAAUUUUCAAAUGAGAGAUUAUUCUCCUAAAUUAGCCAAAGGAGAAAUCUCAGGAAAAAGAUAAAGCCUUCCAUUUACAUUGAUUUAGUCAUUCGUCAAAUGUAUAGUAAAUAUUUUGUGCUCCAUUCUCUGCCUUUAAAGAUAUUCUAAUAAUUCCACAUGAGACUCCGUCUCAAAAAUAACAGAAACAAACAAACAAAAAACAACAACAAAACACUUAAACGUAAAACCCCAAACUACAAAAACCCUAGAAGACAACCUAGGCAAUAUUAUUUGGGACAUAGGCAUGGGCAAAGCUUUCAUGACGAACAUGCCAAAAGCAAUAGCAACAAAAGCAAAAAUUGUCAAAUGGGAUUUAACAACAAAAGGUAGCUGCUGUUGUCAUUUUUAUUAUUAUUAGGCUGAAUUUCUUUGGUGAUUUGGGGGUAAUUCAAGAUUAAUUUUUACAAAAAGACUUGAAUAGAAACCAAUACAUGUGUCCCCUUGAGAGCUGUGAACUUACAACAUUUCACCCCAAACAUCUAGGACCCUAUGGAAUGUGUCUUGAACCUUUGCCCAGUGGCAUGAACCCCAACAACUCACUUGUCCAUAUUCGCUGGUAUUACAGGUGCAUAGUCCCAAAUGACUUCCUCUGCAGCAAUGAAGUAUUCCCACCUCUUCAUGUGCCGCCUCUGCUCACGAGUUAUUUUCUUAAGAUUCCUGGUUUUCUUUGGGCAGUUUUUAAUGUCAAUGUAAGCCUGCAUCCCAGCUGAGUUAGGACAGAAAGACAAUGAAAUAACUCAAGAGAAGAAAUUAUGGUUGAUUGAAAUGCAUAUCCUUUAAAUCAACUUGUGGAAGGUUUAUAUUAAUAUAAUAAGAGUGAAAGUAAUGCUCAGGCAAUUUUUGAACAUUUUAGUUUGGAACUCUUUAAGUGGCAUCCAGAAAAGGCAAGAAUUUUAAAAGGGGGAAAAGGAGGAGGGGUUAGGGAAAAAAUUUGGAAAGAUUCCCUUUAUUUCUUCUUGAGCAGGCAAAUUUCUAAUAAUUUUUAACUUCUUAAGACCUUAUGAAUUAAGUCUUGUUAAAUUCUCAUUUUUCUGUCAUCUGUCCCUUAAUCUAUAAAAUGAAGUAGCACCAGUACCUAAUAAAAUUGUUGUUAAAAAUUAAAUAUUAAUAACAAUACAUAAUGCACUUAUCCUCAACAAAGAAACAAAAGUUACAUUGUUGUUUUAAUAUUAUUGGGAACUCUAUCUUCCACGGAUAUCAUGAUGGUUUUAUUACUUCAAAUAUAAUUUUGACUACUCGUGUGAAAAGAAACAGAAAUGAUCUCAUGAAGUAUCUCUUCCUUAUAUGUGUUGCUUAUACAUUAUUUUGGUAACAAAAUGAUUUCCUAUUGUGAUAUCAUUUCCUUAGACUUUAGUCUCCGUUUAUAUGAACUCUCAUCUCAACAGUUUUAAAGCAAAAAUGUGUAGUAGAACAAUCAGUUAUUUUGUUUACACGAUACCACAUAACCUGGGUUGAUUUAUUUUCCCACCUGAAUUCACCAGUGUUCUUUGGAGCUCACCCCUCAGUAUAUGCCAUGUAUGAUCCAUUCAACACACAUUCAUUGAGUUCCUCUCUAUGCUAGACUUUGUGUUCAUCCCACUGCAAAGGUUAAUGUUUUCAUGUUAAACUUUUACACUUUCUACAACUUAGUGCUUCUGUAAAUUUGCAGUUUGUCUUGUGCUAGCAUCUAGGUCUUUUUCUCUGGCUGCAUAUGAAGUAACCCGAAGAAAGAAUAUCUCUAUGUAUGCAUUUGUUUUCUUCCUCUUUUCUUCUUUCGAGGAAGUUACAGAUCUCUUUUGCUUUUGCUUAAUUAAAAAAAAAAAAACACACAAAAAAAAAACCUUUGCCAAUUCCUUCGCUUUCUCCAUCCCCAAAGAGCAAGUUAUAAAUCUAAGAGCAAAAUAUCUAAGUUUGGUUGUUAGGAACUGAGGAAAGUUUGUCUGGGGUGCAGGUGGCUUGAAAGGGCAAGGGAGAAAGAGGGAGUUAGUGCAUGGGAAGAAAGGAUUCUGCAUUCAGAAGCAAGACUGUCAGGAGAGUUUCUUGCCUUGCAAAUGUUUUGGGGUGAGAGAAGAUAUGAUCCACUUUCCCUCUGGGCCCACAGUCAUAUUUGCGGUAGUGGAUGUAGCACUGACAAGGGUGAUGGCUGAGACCUUAUGAUGGUUCUGCUCCAGGACCUGGCCGUUGAAAUGAAUGGAGAAUAAUUCUGGCCCCGAGCUCAUUCCCAGCAGAUGCCAGCUGAUGUGGUCAUGGGCACAAACUGUUACAUCUGAGAGAGAGGGAGAGAC